rnacentral:snRNA from 1 species
AUACUUACCUGGCAGGGGAGAUACCAUGAUCAAGAAGGUGGUUCACCCAGGGCGAGGCUCAGCCAUUGCACUCCCGGUUGCGCUGACCCCCUGCGAAUUCCCCAAAUGUGGGAGUCUCGACUGCAUAAUUUCUGGGUAGUGGGGGACUGCGUUCGCGCUCUCCCCCU